rnacentral:rRNA from 1 species
AUUGAACGCUGGCGGCAGGCCUAACACAUGCAAGUCGAACGGUAACAGAAAGCAGCUUGCUGCUUUGCUGACGAGUGGCGGACGGGUGAGUAAUGUCUGGGAAACUGCCUGAUGGAGGGGGAUAACUACUGGAAACGGUAGCUAAUACCGCAUAACGUCGCAAGACCAAAGAGGGGGACCUUCGGGCCUCUUGCCAUCGGAUGUGCCCAGAUGGGAUUAGCUAGUAGGUGGGGUAAAGGCUCCUAGGCGACGAUCCCUAGCUGGUCUGAGAGGAUGACCAGCCACACUGGAACUGAGACACGGUCCAGACUCCUACGGGAGGCAGCAGUGGGGAAUAUUGCACAAUGGGCGCAAGCCUGAUGCAGCCAUGCCGCGUGUAUGAAGAAGGCCUUCGGGUUGUAAAGUACUUUCAGCGGGGAGGAAGGGAGUAAAGUUAAUACCUUUGCUCAUUGACGUUACCCGCAGAAGAAGCACCGGCUAACUCCGUG